rnacentral:rRNA from 1 species
ACAUCGCCUCUUGAUUAAUUAUAAGAGGUCAAGCCUGCCCAGUGACAUUGUUCAACGGCCGCGGUAUCCUAACCGUGCGAAGGUAGCGUAAUCACUUGUCCUUUAAAUAAGGACUAGUAUGAACGGCUUCACGAAGGCUAUACUGUCUCCUUAAUCUAAUCAAUUAAACUAAUCUCCCCGUGAAGAAGCGGGGAUUCGUCUAUAAGACGAGAAGACCCUAUGGAGCUUUAAACAUCUAAAACACUUGAUUUUACCUACUAAACUUCAUGUAACCUAUCAUUUUGUUUUAAGUUUUAGGUUGGGGUGACCACGGAGAAAAAUUAAACCUCCACGUAGAAAGAAAAUUCUUUUCUAAGCAAAAAGCCACAUCUUAACGCAUCAACAUAUUGACUUAAAUUGACCCAAUUUCUUGCUCAACGAACCAAGUUACCCUAGGGAUAACAGCGCAAUCCGCUUUAAGAGCUCCUAUCGACAAGCGGGCUUACGACCUCGAUGUUGGAUCA